GUGGGGAAUAUUGGACAAUGGGCGAAAGCCUGAUCCAGCCAUGCCGCGUGUGUGAAGAAGGUCUUCGGAUUGUAAAGCACUUUAAGUUGGGAGGAAGGGCAGUAAGUUAAUACCUUGCUGUUUUGACGUUACCGACAGAAUAAGCACCGGCUAACUUCGUGCCAGCAGCCGCGGUAAUACGAAGGGUGCAAGCGUUAAUCGGAAUUACUGGGCGUAAAGCGCGCGUAGGUGGUUUUGUAAGUUGGAGGUGAAAUCCCCGGGCUCAACCUGGGAACUGCCUCCAAAACUGCAUGACUAGAGUACGGUAGAGGGUAGUGGAAUUUCCUGUGUAGCGGUGAAAUGCGUAGAUAUAGUAAGGAACACCAGUGGCGAAGGCGACUACCUGGACUGAUACUGACACUGAGGUGCGAAAGCGUGGGGAGCAAACAGGAUUAGAAACCCUUGUAGUCC
rnacentral:rRNA from 1 species